GUCCAGGGAUGGGAAUCGAACCCACAGUGUUCCGCUUAAAGGACAGAUGCCAUGUCCACUAGGCUACCCUGGA